GAAUGCUGACAUAAGUAACGAUAAAGCGGGUGAAAAGCCCGCUCGCCGGAAGACCAAGGGUUCCUGUCCAACGUUAAUCGGGGCAGGGUGAGUCGACCCCUAAGGCGAGGCCGAAAGGCGUAGUCGAUGGGAAACAGGUUAAUAUUCCUGUACUUGGUGUUACUGCGAAGGGGGGACGGAGAAGGCUAUGUUGGCCGGGCGACGGUUGUCCCGGUUUAAGCGUGUAGGCUGAUUUUCCAGGCAAAUCCGGAAAAUCAAGGCUGAGGCGUGAUGACGAGGCACUACGGUGCUGAAGCAACAAAUGCCCUGCUUCCAGGAAAAGCCUCUAAGCAUCAGGUAACAUCAAAUCGUACCCCAAACCGACACAGGUGGUCAGGUAGAGAAUACCAAGGCGCUUGAGAGAACUCGGGUGAAGGAACUAGGCAAAAUGGUGCCGUAACUUCGGGAGAAGGCAC
rnacentral:rRNA from 1 species